rnacentral:lncRNA from 1 species
AAACAUCUCCAGUAAGACCCCUUCUGAAGGUUUAUGGUUCUUGAAAUUAUUUGGUUUCCAACUACCCCCUGCCUUCAGCAUUCCCCUCUUUGUUGUUCAAACAAGGCCAGCUUCGAAAGCACAUAAGGCUAUCAGAACAAGGCUGAUACGCCCAUUGAAUUCUAUUCUGUGGCUUCACCAAAGUUCAUUUUGGUCAAAAGACUGUCAGGAUGUUCUUAAGAUUCACAUCAUUUUUUAUUGCAGCUUCAGUUAAAUUAAUUACCCCUCAUGGUCUGCUUUCACAUUCACUGUUCUGAAUCCACUUUGCAUCAGUUGGUUGACCUAGCAUGGUUAACAGCCUUAUUUUAGUCUUUUCUUUAAUCAUUUGCAUUGUCACUGUUCUUCAUUAGCUUUAAUUUUCCUAAGUUCUCUCCAACACAUAAUCCAGUCAGAAAGAGCUCAAACUACAAACUCAACCGCUGCAGGGAGUUCAAAUACCGUUGACUUGAAAAGCUAUAAAAAAAUCAACAAAUGAGGCAAUCUACUUUAAGUAAGAAAUCGGAAAGAAAAC